GACGAACGCUGGCGGCGUGCUUAACACAUGCAAGUCGAACGGAAAGGCCCUGCUUUUGUGGGGUGCUCGAGUGGCGAACGGGUGAGUAACACGUGAGUAACCUGCCCUUGACUUUGGGAUAACUUCAGGAAACUGGGGCUAAUACAGGAUAGGAGCUCCUGCUGCAUGGUGGGGGUUGGGAAGUGUCGGCGGUUGGGGAUGGACUCGCGGCUUAUCAGCUUGUUGGUGGGGUAGUGGCUUACCAAGGCUUUGACGGGUAGCCGGCCUGAGAGGGUGACCGGCCACAUUGGGACUGAGAUACGGCCCAGACUCCUACGGGAGGCAGCAGUGGGGAAUAUUGCACAAUGGCCGGAAGCCUGAUGCAGCAACGCCGCGUGCGGGAUGAUGGCCUUCGGGUUGUAAACCGCUUUCGCCUGUGACGAAGCGUGAGUGACGGUAAUGGGUAAAGAAGCACCGGCUAACUACGUG
rnacentral:rRNA from 1 species